rnacentral:rRNA from 1 species
UACGUAGGGGGCAAGCGUUGUCCGGAAUCAUUGGGCGUAAAGAGCGUGUAGGCGGCUCGGUAAGUCCGCUCUGAAAGCCCGGGGCUCAACCCCGGGAGGCGGGCGGAUACUGUCGGGCUAGAGUCCGGAAGAGGCGAGUGGAAUUCCUGGUGUAGCGGUGAAAUGCGCAGAUAUCAGGAGGAACACCAAUGGCGAAGGCAGCUCGCUGGGACGGUACUGACGCUGAGACGCGAAAGCCAGGGGAGCAAACGGG